UGGGGAAUAUUGCACAAUGGGCGCAAGCCUGAUGCAGCCAUGCCGCGUGUGUGAAGAAGGCCUUCGGGUUGUAAAGCACUUUCAGCGGGGAGGAAGGCGUUAAGGUUAAUAACCUUGGCGAUUGACGUUACCCGCAGAAGAAGCACCGGCUAACUCCGUGCCAGCAGCCGCGGUAAUACGGAGGGUGCAAGCGUUAAUCGGAAUUACUGGGCGUAAAGCGCACGCAGGCGGUCUGUCAAGUCGGAUGUGAAAUCCCCGGGCUCAACCUUGGAACUGCAUUCGAAACUGGCAGGCUAGAGUCUUGUAGAGGGGGGUAGAAUUCCAGGUGUAGCGAUGAAAUGCGUAGAGGUCUGGAGGAAUACCGGUGGCGAAGGCGGCCCCCUGGACAAAGACUGACGCUCAGGUGGGAAAGCGUGGGGAGCAAACAGG
rnacentral:rRNA from 1 species